rnacentral:rRNA from 1 species
AGCGAACGCUGGCGGCAGGCUUAACACAUGCAAGUCGAGCGGGCAUCCUUGUGGUGUCAGCGGCAGACGGGUGAGUAACGCGUGGGAACGUGCCCUUCGGUUCGGAAUAACUCAGGGAAACUUGUGCUAAUACCGGAUAUGUGCGAGAGCAGAAAGGUUUAUCUGCCGAAGGAUCGGCCCGCGUCUGAUUAGCUAGUUGGUGAGGUUAUGGCUCACCAAGGCGACGAUCAGUAGCUGGUCUGAGAGGAUGAUCAGCCACACUGGGACUGAGACACGGCCCAGACUCCUACGGGAGGCAGCAGUGGGGAAUAUUGGACAAUGGCGGCAACCCUGAUCCAGCCAUGCCGCGUGAGUGAUGACGGCCUUAGGGUUGUAAAGCUCUUUUCUCCGGGACGAUAAUGACGGUACCGGAAGAAUAAGCCCCGGCUAACUUCGUG